GUGCAGCAGUCGCGAAAACUUGUCAAUGCACGAAAGUGUGAACGGGCUACCCCGAGUGCCGUCCGCUGAGGAUGGCUUUUCUCUGCUGUAAGAAGGCAGAGGAAUAAGGAGAGGGCAAGUCUGGUGUCAGCCGCCGCGGUAAUACCAGCUCUCCGAGUGGUAGGGAUGAUUAUUGGGCUUAAAGCGUCCGUAGCUGGCCUUUCAAGUCUCUUGUUAAAUCCAGCGAUUCAAUCGUUGGACUGCGGGAGAUACUGUUAGGCUAGGGGGCGGGAGAAGCCGACGGUAUUUCCGGGGUAGGGGUAAAAUCCUAUAAUCCCGGGAAGACCACCAGUGGCGUAGGCGGUCGGCUAGCACGCGCUCGACAGUGAGGGACGAAAGCUGGGGUAGCGAACCGGAUUAGAUACCCGCGUAGUCC
rnacentral:rRNA from 1 species